rnacentral:rRNA from 1 species
UACAGAGGGUGCAAGCGUUAAUCGGAAUUACUGAGCGUAAAGCGCGCAUAGGUGGUUUGUUAAGUUGGAUGUGAAAGCCCCGGGCUCAACCUGGGAACUGCAUCCAAAACUGGCAAGCUAGAGUACGGUAGAGAAUAAUGGAAUUUCCUGUGUAGCGGUGAAAUGCGUAAAUAUAAGAAGGAACACCAAUAACAAAGGCGACCACCUGGACUGAUACUGACACUGAGGUGCGAAAGCGUGGGGAGCAAACAGG